GAUGAACGCUGGCGGCGUGCUUAACACAUGCAAGUCGAACGAAGCACUCUAUUUGAUUUUCUUCGGAAUUGAAGAUUUUGUGACUGAGUGGCGGACGGGUGAGUAACGCGUGGGUAACCUGCCUCAUACAGGGGGAUAACCGUUGGAAACGACUGCUAAUACCGCAUAAGCGCACGGUAUUGCAUGAUACAGUGUGAAAAACUCCGGUGGUAUGAGAUGGACCCGCGUCUGAUUAGCUAGUUGGUGGGGUAACGGCCUAUCAAGGCGACGAUCAGUAGCCGACCUGAGAGGGUGACCGGCCACAUUGGGACUGAGACACGGCCCAAACUCCUACGGGAGGCAGCAGUGGGGAAUAUUGCACAAUGGGGGAAACCCUGAUGCAGCGACGCCGCGUGAACGAAGAAGUAUUUCGGUAUGUAAAGUUCUAUCAGCAGGGAAGAUAAUGACGGUACCUGACUAAGAAGCACCGGCUAAAUACGUGCCAGCAGCCGCCGUAA
rnacentral:rRNA from 1 species